GCUUUGGAAGACUCAGCAAUGGAUGCUGAUCAAGUGGACAACCUCAUAAAGUUUUAUCCAACAAAAGAGGGGAUGGAGCUGCUUCACGUAAACUGUUAGUAAAACAGUUUAAAGGAUUAAAAGACAGAAUAAACCCUGAACUGUUAGAAAUAUGUCAAUUAAGUCCUUGGAAUCUAAUUCCAAAAGUAAGGAUAUUUCUGCACACUUACCAAUAUUGCAGCAAGUUUAAGCAUGGUCCCGAUCAUGAUUAGGAUACAAAGGAGAGAAGGAUAAGUUAGGAAAAUGUGAACAGUUCUUCUUGGAGCUAAUGAAAGUUCCACGUACAGAAUCUAAGCUUAGAGUUUUUUCUUCUAAGUUACAGUUCAAUGCA